ACUCGACUCCAUGAAGUCGGAAUCGCUAGUAAUCGUAGAUCAGAAUGCUACGGUGAAUACGUUCCCGGGCCUUGUACACACCGCCCGUCACACCAUGGGAGUGGGUUGCAAAAGAAGUAGGUAGCUUAACCUUCGGGAGGGCGCUUACCACUUUGUGAUUCAUGACUGGGGUGAAGUCGUAACAAGGUAACCGUAGGGGAACCUGCGGUUGGAUCACCUCCUUACCUUAAAGAA
rnacentral:rRNA from 2 species